CCCUGGCUCAGGACGAACGCUGGCGGCGUGCCUAAUACAUGCAAGUCGAGCGGAAUGAUGAAGAAGCUUGCUUCUUCUGAUUUUAGCGGCGGACGGGUGAGUAACACGUGGGCAACCUACCUUGUAGAUUGGGAUAACUCCGGGAAACCGGGGCUAAUACCAAAUAAUCCAUUUUGCUUCAUGGCGAAAUGUUGAAAGGCGGCUUCGGCUGUCACUACGAGAUGGGCCCGCGGCGCAUUAGCUAGUUGGUAGGGUAACGGCCUACCAAGGCGACGAUGCGUAGCCGACCUGAGAGGGUGAUCGGCCACACUGGGACUGAGACACGGCCCAGACUCCUACGGGAGGCAGCAGUAGGGAAUCUUCCACAAUGGACGAAAGUCUGAUGGAGCAACGCCGCGUGAGUGAAGAAGGUUUUCGGAUCGUAAAACUCUGUUGUAAGGGAAGAACACGUACGAGAGUAACUGCUCGUACCUUGACGGUACCUUAUUAGAAAGCCACGGCUAACUA
rnacentral:rRNA from 2 species